AACAAGUAUUACUGAUUAUCACAUACAAGCUAGUUCUCCAUAUCCAUGUCAUUCCACACAGAGAAUGAAUCACAUGUUAGGUCUAGGAGGUUUCAGGAAAUAAUUGGAGACCCCAACGAGGGAUACAUGAACUAGAGUUAUGUCAGUAGUCAUCGUUGACUGAAACAUUCAAUCCGUAUUGCUUGUUCGGAGAUAAACUUGUAUGGG
rnacentral:lncRNA from 1 species